GUUUUUUGUUUCUCUUCGGCUUUCUUCUUAUGAUCCUGCACGAACACCUUAAAUAAUUAAGAUUCAAAAACCUUAAAAACAAAAUUGUUUUUCAUUGUUCAAUGUAUAAAAAAGAGCCAAUUACCAUUUUGUUUGUCUUCUCGAAAUUGUAAAAUGUAAGAAGAGUAGUACAGCACCAAGCAAAACUUUGAAAAAAAAUCCUUGUUUGUCUUCUUGAAAUUGUAAAGUGCAAGAAGAGUAGAACGCAACUUCACACUACAGUGCCUCCAAGCAAAACUUUCAGAAAAAAUCCUGAAACAAAUAUUUAUUUACAUAAGAGAUAUAUUUUACCACUUUGCAAAGAUUUUGAAUAUAAUAACAACUAUUAGGCACAACAUGAAACUCAUAGUAUAUUUUAUUGAGACAGAUCUUAACUCAGGAUAGAAUAAGGAAGGAGAAGACAUGAAAGAGCUCGGAGGCAGAACUAACGCAAAAAAAGUAAAGUGGCCUUAGAUUGUUUAAGUGUAAUCUUCGGUUGUUUCAGAAUUUCCCAACUGAACAGAAUAAACCUACAACCUACUUCUUUCAUUCAGCAACCACCUAGCCAAAUCUAUAAAAUAUCCAGACUAUUAAACUAAUUAGCAUUUUCAAUUCAACUCGAUAUUUUUCUAACCUUCCAGAAGUCCAAUAAGAAGUAGGUGAAAUCUAUUAGUGAGAUUUCUCUAUGAUUGAAACAUACCCUUAGACCAGUGUUUCACACCAUGUGUUCAUUUGUUAACUAGUUUUCUAUGUAGAUCUUAGGACAUGUGGUAAAUUAAUGAAUACAUCGAAAGUUAAUUGGGACCUAGAGAAUUCUGCUGCAACAACAGUGAAAUAGGUUUUCAAGCUUAUCUCUGAAUGUACCAUUAUCACAAGGCAAGUAAGGUGAAUUGUUUAAGAACUAUGGAACUGAGAAAACCAAUGGAUUUAACUCACUAUAUGCAAUUGAAAUAACAAUCAUAUGAGUGAGCUUUUAAUACAGCAAGAACAGGGGAAAAUCGCUAAAAACUGAAGGAACAAAAUAGACAAGGCAACAAAAAGCAAGAAACGUGAAAAAAUCCCUUAACUUAGAUAGAAAGGGCAGCCCCUUCAAGAGUAGCAAAACUAACCUUAGAGGCGGCGAAGCACGACGGACCAGAGAAAGACGCAGAGAGCAGCGACGAAACACAGCAGAGCAAGAGCAGCGGUGAUCUGUUUCAUAGAGAACAAGGAUAUCUGUUUCAAAACUUUCCUCACAAAUUGCCUACUCGAAAGUUUUGGUGCAGAAAGAAGAACAAAAAGAGGAUCUUUUCA
rnacentral:lncRNA from 1 species